rnacentral:rRNA from 1 species
UCGAACGGUAACAGCCACUUCGGAUGCUGACGAGUGGCGAACGGGUGAGUAACGCAUCGGAACGUGUCCAGUAGUGGGGGAUAGCCCGGCGAAAGCCGGAUUAAUACCGCAUACAACCUACGGGUAAAAGGGGGGGAUCGCAAGACCUCUCGCUAUUGGAGCGGCCGAUGUCAGAUUAGGUAGUUGGUGGGGUAAAGGCCCACCAAGCCGACGAUCUGUAGCUGGUCUGAGAGGACGACCAGCCACACUGGGACUGAGACACGGCCCAGACUCCUACGGGAGGCAGCAGUGGGGAAUUUUGGACAAUGGGCGCAAGCCUGAUCCAGCCAUGCCGCGUGCGGGAAGAAGGCCUUCGGGUUGUAAACCGCUUUUGUCAGGGAAGAAAAGCGCAGUGCCAAUACCACUGCGUCAUGACGGUACCUGAAGAAUAAGCACCGGCUAACUACGUGCCAGCAGCCGCGGUAAUACGUAGGGUGCAAGCGUUAAUCGGAAUUACUGGGCGUAAAGCGUGCGCAGGCGGCUUUGCAAGACAGAUGUGAAAUCCCCGGGCUUAACCUGGGAACUGCAUUUGUGACUGCAAGGCUAGAGUACGGUAGAGGGGGAGUGGAAUUCCGCGUGUAGCAGUGAAAUGCGUAGAUAUGCGGAGGAACACCGAUNGGCGRNAGGCAGCUCCCUGGGACCUGUACUGACGCUCAUGCACGAAAGCGUGGGGAGCAAACAGGAUUUAGAUACCCUGGUAGUCCACGCCCUAAACGAUGUCAACUGGUUGUUGGGAGGGUUUCUUCUCAGUAACGUAGCUAACGCGUGAAGUUGACCGCCUGGGGGAGUACGGCCGCAAGGUUGAAACUCAAAGGAAUUGACGGGGACCCGCACAAGCGGUGGAUGAUGUGGUUUAAUUCGAUGCAACGCGAAAAACCUUACCUACCCUUGACAUGUAUGGAAGCUUCCAGAGAUGGGAGCGUGCUCGAAAGAGAGCCAUAACACAGGUGCUGCAUGGCCGUCGUCAGCUCGUGUCGUGAGAUGUUGGGUUAAGUCCCGCAACGAGCGCAACCCUUAUCAUCAGUUGCUACGCAAGGGCACUCUGAUGAGACUGCCGGUGAUAAACCGGAGGAAGGUGGGGAUGACGUCAGGUCCUCAUGGCCCUUAUGGGUAGGGCUACACACGUCAUACAAUGGCCGGUACAGAGGGUUGCCAACCCGCGAGGGGGAGCCAAUCCCAGAAAACCGGUCGUAGUCCGGAUCGCAGUCUGCAACUCGACUGCGUGAAGUCGGAAUCGCUAGUAAUCGCGGAUCAGCAUGUCGCGGUGAAUACGUUCCCGGGUCUUGUACACACCGCCCGUCACACCAUGGGAGCGGGUCUCGCCAGAAGCAGGUAGCCUAACCGCAA